AUCUUAAAAAGUUACUCUUAGUUCGGAUUGGAAUCUGCAACUCGAUUCUAUGAAGUAGGAAUCGCUAGUAAUCGUAAAUCAGAAUGUUACGGUGAAUACGUUCUCGAGCCUUGUACACACCGCCCGUCACACCAUGGAAGUAAAUUGUAUCAUAAGUAAUUUUAAUAUUGCAAAGGUAUGAUUUGUAACUGGGGUGAAGUCGUAACAAGGUA
rnacentral:rRNA from 1 species